UUGUUAGGUUUAUAGAGCAAGACGGCCUUAAUAGAGGAAAAGUGCUUCCGGACGUGCCUUUGUGAUCCACAUGUGCUGCGUUACAGUAUGACACAAAAAUGAAACAAUGAUCAAUGUUUUCAGACUGCUAGAUCCACACCUAAGCUUUCCUGUUCAAUUGAUCUGACGGAGCUCAAACGGAGAAGGCUGCUUUUCUUGGACGGCAAACUCAGUUCCAUGUCAUCUCUGUGAGUCAUGUAAACUGCUCUGUGUUUGGACAAAUUCCACUGUGCUUGCUGUGUGGUGAAAAAAAUGAGAAAGGAAAAUAAUAAGGAGCUUGAACUUGAUGAAUCUUGAAUUGCACGGGUACAGAAUACCUGUGUGCGUGUGGCGGCGGUAUACACGCAGUGAUGUGGUCAUUGGAGGAAACUAAGAGUUCCGGAAUGCCCGAGGAAUGAGCUCAUUCAAAUUAAAGCGCGUGGCAAUUACCAAAUGGUAACAACAGGCUACUCAGCAGUGCAAGUCCAGGAGAGCAGGCCGCCUGACAAAGAAGCAAACACAAAGUGAUUGUGGUGGAACUACUCAACAACAUACAGGUGCAGAGUGGGACUCACUAUUAUCCUGGGGGUUCAAACAAUGCAGAGUGGCCCACUGAUGUAGAAUAGUCGAUAGAAAGAAGUAGGUUGCUUUUGGCAGGAAUCAACCAGGCCAAUAAGCAAUCAAGGCAUCUCCCUAAAGGACCUCUGCGCAAAAUUU